CCUACGGGAGGCAGCAGUGAGGAAUAUUGGUCAAUGGGCGGGAGCCUGAACCAGCCAAGUCGCGUGAGGGAAGACGGUCCUAUGGAUUGUAAACCUCUUUAGGCGGGGAGCAAUGCCGGGCACGCGUGCCCGGAGGGAGAGUACCCGCAGAAUAAGCAUCGGCUAACUCCGUGCCAGCAGCCGCGGUAAUACGGAGGAUGCGAGCGUUAUCCGGCUGUAUUGGGUUUAACGGGUGCGUAGGCGGAUUGUUAAGUCAGCGGUAAAAUGUCCGGGCUCAACCCGGGCCGGCCGUUGAAACUGGGGAUCUUGAGUGGGCGAGAAGUAGGCGGAAUGCGUGGUGUAGCGGUGAAAUGCAUAGAUAUCACGCAGAACUCCGAUUGCGAAGGCAGCAUACCGGCGCCCGACUGACGCUGAGGCACGAAAGCGUGGGGAUCGAACAGGAUUAGAUACCCUUGUAGUC
rnacentral:rRNA from 1 species